rnacentral:ncRNA from 1 species
UGUCUCCUCCACUCUCCUCGUGAUGUGGAUUCAGGCCCAGGCUCGAAAGUGCCUGGGCCUUUUUUU